CUGCGAAAGCCGGAUUAAUACCGCAUACGCUCUGCGGAGGAAAGCGGGGGAUCCUUCGGGACCUCGCGCUACAGGGGCGGCCGAUGGCAGAUUAGCUAGUUGGUGGGGUAAAGGCCUACCAAGGCGACGAUCUGUAGCUGGUCUGAGAGGACGACCAGCCACACUGGGACUGAGACACGGCCCAGACUCCUACGGGAGGCAGCAGUGGGGAAUUUUGGACAAUGGGCGCAAGCCUGAUCCAGCAAUGCCGCGUGUGUGAAGAAGGCCUUCGGGUUGUAAAGCACUUUUGUCCGGAGAGAAAACCUCGUGGUUAAUACCCGUGGGGGAUGACGGUACCGGAAGAAUAAGCACCGGCUAACUACGUGCCAGCAGCCGCGGUAAUACGUAGGGUGCAAGCGUUAAUCGGAAUUACUGGGCGUAAAGCGUGCGCAGGCGGUUCGCUAAGACAGAUGUGAAAUCCCCGGGCUUAACCUGGGGACUGCAUUUGUGACUGGCGAGCUAGAGUAUGGCA
rnacentral:rRNA from 1 species